AUCCCUGAUUACUAAUGAAGUUAAACAUUUUUUUUCGCUUAUUUCUUUGCCAUUUAUAGUUCUUCUCUAAAACACUCAAAUCUUUUGCUCAUGUUUCCUGUUCGUCUUAGUGAAUGAUAGGCGUUUUUAAUAUGUGUGUAUAUAUAUUUUUAAUCUUUAAUGUGUAAAGUGUGAUUGGAAUUUCUUCUCCCAGUUUUUUUAAGUUUAUGGUAUUUCCUCAUGACUUGAGCUUUUUAUGUUACCGUCUCAGCAACCAAUAUUUUAAUUUUAAUGCAAUCAAUGUUAUCAGUUGUUUUAUGCUCUUGUGUGUUAUGCUUAGGAAAGACUUCCUGAAUUUCAUUGAAUAGAUUCUCCUGUAUUCUAAAAUUUGAUACCUUCGCCUUUCAUAUUUAUGCCUUUAAUCCAUCUAGAAUAGAUUUUAUUUUUCUGUGUAGAGUUUGAGUUAGGGAUUUAAUUUCAUUCUUUCAUGUGAAUAACCAAUUGUCCCAAAACCAUUGAUUAAGGAGCCCAUCUCCUUUCUCUAAUGAUCUGCACUGCCACCUUUGUAAUGUAUAAAAGUUUCAUAGAUGCAUGGGAAUUUUUUAGUCUGGUGUUAAAUGUUCCUCAAAAAGUUGCAGCAAACCUUUUUGGUUUUAUUUUCUACUGCCUUUUCAUAUACCCUCUAUUCAUCUGGACUCCAUGCUGUGCUUCAAAAUUGUCCCACAAUUUCCUUUGUCUUGUGCAUUUUAUACUUCUGUCUCUCACAUGCUGCCUUGUGCUGUUGUUUUAGGUAUAUUUACUUCUCUUUUCUUCACAUUGUAUAUAAGUUUGUGAAAUCAUGCUUUGUGUUUUGUUCAUCUUUGAUACUUUUGAACAGAAACUGGUGUCUUUUACUGAAUAGUUAAUAAAUCAUUGACCUAAAUUGGGAGUUGGAAUUGAAAGGAUCUUAGAAAUUAUCCAGCCAGUGUUGUCAUAUUUGUCCACCUAUGAUCCUGAAGAUUUUCAGAGUUUGAGUGCAAUGCCCAAGGUCAUACAGCUUGGUCAGUCCCCGAUGUUUUUUCCUGAGCUUUGCCAGAACAUCUUUCAUGAUCAGUUCUCUGGACAAAUAACUGAAAUAUCAGACACUGUCCAGAAGUAUGAACUAACAUGUGAAGAUACGGGAAAAGAGGUGUAGACACACGUCCUUGCAGGUCCAUGACCCUUGGCUAGUUGAGUCUGUGAUCUAUAGUGAAGUUCACCUCACAUCCAAAUAACUGAGCAUUUCCCAAGCAUACUGUGCUGACUCACAUCCCGUGCCUUUAAACACAGAGCAUGUUCAACAGAACUGUUUUGAUGGACCACUAUGCAUGAGUCUUCUGAACUCCUAGAGAUUAAUUUCUUCUUGUUGAAUCUUAUGUUACCAUACUUUGACAUCACUUCUGUAGCUGUACCAGUCAGACCAUAUUUUAAUUCUUUUUUUAUCUCUUUCUUGAUUUUUAUCACCUGAGGUCAGAGACAGUUUUCUAUUCUGUUGUCUUCUCAGCACCUAGCACCAGGGCUAUGUUUGUUCUGAGUUAGGUUUUCAAGAUGUUUGAUUUUUCACUUUCUAUUUUUUUGCUUUUUAGGGCUGCAUCCAAGGCAUAUGGAAGUUCCCAGGCUAGGGGUUGAAUUGGAGCUGUAGCCGCUGGCCUGCACUACAGCAACAGCAAUGCCAGAUCUCAGCCACAUCUGCAACCUAUGCCAUAGCUCACAGCAACGCCUGAUCCUUAACCCACUGAGCAAGGCUAGGGAUCUAACCCGUGUCCUCAUGGAUAAUAGUUGGGUUUGUUACCACUGAGCCAUGAUGGGAACUCCCUAGAUACUCCCCAAAUAGCUUUUUUUUUUUUUUUUGAUAUAAGUAGUUUUUUUUUCUGAAUUACAAAAAUCUUAUAUGCUCAUUGUAAGAAGUUGGAAAAUAUAGGAAAAUCCUAAAGAGAACAGAAAUCCCUAAACAACCACCUCAGGGGAGUUCUCCAGGGAGAGGCCACGUUGCUAAUGUCGUGUUGCCUCUGUUGGCUGAUGUCUGCUAAUCACUCCUGUUGCUUAUCCUCUGGAAAGAGGAACGACCAGUUACCCAAGUACUAAACCCAGUACUUUAGUUCAGUUCUUCCUAGCUUGUCAGAGUGUUCACUUCAUGGUAGCAGAUUCUCUAAGUACCUCUGUUGCAUAUUCAGUGCUUUGGAUAAUGUGAAAUUAUUAUAUUUUUGUUAUUUUUCAACAGGUGGCUGAGCUGGUGGACAUACUCUUUCUAGUGCCCAAUAUCACUGAUAGCAAGCUCUUUAGAAGAAUUCCACAGUAGGGCUUUGUGUUAACUGAACCAAUAACAAGACACACAGUUACUUUUUAUCUUAGUCUGAGAAUGGUAGUGAUUUAAGUCCACCUUUGACAUUCAUAACAGAAGCAUUGCAAACAGAAAUUGUUUACAAAAAUUUUUUUUUUAACUCUGCCAAGAGCACUUCGAAGGAUGACUUUCCUAUUGCUAGUGUGUUACCGUAGACUGGUUUUAUCUCCACAUCAG
rnacentral:lncRNA from 1 species